AGAGUUUGAUCCUGGCUCAGAGCGAACGUUAGCGGCAGGCUUAACACAUGCAAGUCGAGCGAGAAAGGGGCUUCGGCUCCGAGUAAAGCGGCGGACGGGUGCGUAACACGUGGAUAAUCUGCCUCGUGGCGGGGGACAACAGUCCGAAAGGACUGCUAAUACCGCAUGUCAGGUCGGAAACUCCGGUUUCUGACGAAAAAGAGGGCACCCGCAAGGGGCUCUCACCACGAGAUGAGUCCGCGUCCCAUCAGCUAGUUGGCGGUGUAAUAGACCACCAAGGCUUAGACGGGUAGCUGGUCUGAGAGGAUGACCAGCCACACUGGGACUGAGACACGGCCCCAGACUCCUACGGGAGGCAGCAGUGGGGAAUAUUGGACAAUGGGCGAAAGCCUGAUCCAGCCAUGCCGCGUGAGUGAUGAAGG
rnacentral:rRNA from 1 species